AAAGAUUAGGGGGUGGGGAUGGUGGAGACCCUGCUUUAGGUGUUACCAUGGGCCCUGUCUGGAGGCAGAGGAGGUGAUAGGAAGCCGUAAGCUCCAGGAAGCCAGCCAGGUGCCAGGAAGCCUCCAUACCUUACUGUGAAGGGCCUCACAAAACCACCUUGCAGUGAAGGCAUUGCUACACUCACUUUGCAGAUAUGGAAACUGAGGCUUAGAAAGAAGUAACUUGGCUCGUCACAUCAAGGAAUCGGAACAUCAGAGAAGCACAGUGGCUCGUUCAAGGUCCCACGCCAGGGAUUCAACCCCAGAUCUGGCUGACACCAGAGCCAACACCAUCCCCACAGUGCAGUGCCUCCCGUGAUCACUCCUGUCUUCUACUGCCUGAGAGUUUGUAAAAUGCAGUGGCUGAAGGCAGGCACUAUUGCAUCAGACCUCCUGGCUUUGUAUCCUGGCCCCUUGACUUUCUAGUGGGGCGGUUGCUUCACCUCUUUAUGCCAUGUCUUUCUGCUCAUCAACCAGUGCUUCUCAAAGUGAGGGCUCCAACCAGCCGCUUGGCAGCCUUGGGGAACUUACCAGAAACACCAUUUCUUGGGACCCAGCCCAAACUUGCUGAAUCAGAAAUUCUGGGGGCGGAGCCCAGUGAUCUGCGUUCUAAGAGCCCUCAAGUGCCAAUCAAUGUUUCUCAUGGGCCUUUGGCAUCUCAGUGACAAUGGCAUGCAGGACGCACCCAGGCUGGUUUCUACUUCUUGACUUUCUGCCAGGGCUGAAGGUGUUUUCCCGCUCCACCGCAGUGGCUUAGAGGAAGUCAGUUUCAUUUGCGCCCUUCUAAAUCCUGACCUGGGAGCCUUUUUGCUGAUAUAAACCUCCUUCCCUGAUGGCGCAAGCUGAGCUCCAGCAAGAUCUGAGAAUCAAGAAGGUGGGGU
rnacentral:lncRNA from 1 species